rnacentral:rRNA from 1 species
UUGACCUCGGAUCAGGUAGGGAUACCCGCUGAACUUAAGCAUAUCAAUAAGCGGAGGAAAAGAAACCAACCGGGAUUGCCCCAGUAACGGCGAGUGAAGCGGCAAGAGCUCAAAUUUGAAAUCUGGCCCCUCCGGGGUCCGAGUUGUAAUUUGCAGAGGAUGCUUCGGGUGCGGCCCCUGUCUAAGUGCCCUGGAACGGGCCGUCAGAGAGGGUGAGAAUCCCGUCUUGGGCAGGGUGCCCGUGCCCGUGUGAAGCUCCUUCGACGAGUCGAGUUGUUUGGGAAUGCAGCUCUAAAUGGGUGGUAAAUUUCAUCUAAAGCUAAAUACCGGCCGGAGACCGAUAGCGCACAAGUAGAGUGAUCGAAAGAUGAAAAGCACUUUGAAAAGAGAGUUAAACAGCACGUGAAAUUGUUGAAAGGGAAGCGCUUGCGACCAGACUCGGCCCCGGGGUUCAGCCAGCACUCGUGCUGGUGUACUUCCCCGGGGGCGGGCCAGCGUCGGUUUGGGCGGCCGGUCAAAGGCCCCAGGAAUGUAUCGCCCUCCGGGGUUGUCUUAUAGCCUGGGGUGCAAUGCGGCCAGCCCGGACCGAGGAACGCGCUUCGGCACGGACGCUGGCGUAAUGGUCGCAAACGACC